rnacentral:rRNA from 1 species
UGACCUCAAAUCAGGUAGGUUACC